ACCAAUAUAUGAAAGUGAAAACUCAAGAGACUCUCUAUAUGAAGAACAUGGUGCUACUCUGAAGCACAAGUGUGGUAAAAGGAUAGUAACAUUGUCCCUUCUCUCUCUUCUCUCAUUUUUUUUAUUCUUUUCUCUUUUUUAGGCUUCUUUGGCCUCUCUCUUUUUUUGGGGCUUCUUUGGCCACUUUUAUUUUGAUAACCUCACAUGGGACAAUGUUCUAAUAAUGAUGAUCAUCACACUUUUAUUUACUUACAACUCAAUAUUACAACUCGAUAUCUAGAACAAAGAUAUGACUCUAUAUGAAUGCCUCCGGCGGUGUACCGGGAUGUGCAAUGAUCUAGCAUAGCAAUGACAUCAAAAAACGGACAAGCCAUGAAAACAUCAUUGUCGUGGGAUUGUCACGGCAGAUGUCCUAGUGUGAGGACUUAGUCGUGGAGCCAUCGCAACGAAGUUAGCUUAAAGGGGUUAAACAUGACAAAGGACACGAGGAGUUUAUACUGGUUCGGCCCCUUGCGGUGAAGGUAAAGGCCUAAUCCAGUUUGAGCUGGUAUUGCUAGGGUUUCGAUGACCAGGGAGCGAAUACGCUUAACCUGGCUCUCGAUCUGUUGUUUCUUGUCCCUAAACCGCCGCCGGGUCGUCCCUUUAUAUACACAGGUUGACGCCCCGCAGUUCACAGAAUUCCGGCCGGCUCAUAAACGUGUCCGGCUCGGUAUCUACUCUUUCCUAUCUUACAACACAAGUCAUACACCUAUGGCGGUUUACAUCUAUGGGCCCUAAACAGCCUAUGGACUUUGGGCCUUCUUAUUAAGUCUCCUUCGUAAGUCGCCAUCUUCUGUGUCUUCAUGGGCUUCAAUACUGGUAAAUCAUCAUGAGCAUAACCCGGCCCCUCCUGGGCGGUUUAUACUCAAUAGUUAUAUCCCCAACAUUAGGCCCCAGGUUGAUUUGAACUUGUUCAUGUCAAUCUUCAACACUUUAGAAAAAAUCCCACCUUUAUUACCUUUGCGAAACUUAUAACUCGCCAUGACGUCACCCUCUGGAAUCAUGAUAACCCGCCGUGACGUCAUCUGCCAUUAAUUUUACAGAGCCAAAAUCUUUAAUGUAUCUCCUUAUUUUUAAUGAAUCUCCAAAAAUCGAGGCGUCUGCACUGUUACAGAGCCGUUUUUUGACCUCCUCGAUUCCCGCGCUUGCCACUUAUCCAUUCGCCUUAUAAAUAGGGCCGGGGGUCCCUUUCACUUUCCCCCCCGUGCCUCUUCGUCUCGUCUUCUUCCUUGCGACACCCUAGCACUUGAGCUCAGCCGCCGCCGUCGACCCUCGCCUCUGCUUCAUCAACGGCCGCUGCAUCAACCUGUUCGGACCAGAUUCUACUCGCGCACCUCCGCCACUCAACAGCCUCGGUAAGUUCUUCCUCCUCCCCUCCAUAGAUCUCAUUAGGGUUCGAACGAACUCAUAGAAGUUCAGUGCUGUUCUUCACCUGUUCUUCACUGUAGCAGGAAUGGCGGAUUCAAACUUGAUAUUUUCCUGUGCGGCAAUAGCCGUAGUCCUUUUUUCCCAUCAGAUCAUCUCUUUUUAGAUAGAAAAUCCAAUCUGGAACUUCAUAAACUGUUCAAGUACCAAUAUUUAGGUCUGAACAUAUUUUCUUUUUCUGACACGCGGUAGAUCCGAAAUUGUGAUAUCAAUCUAUGAAAACUGUUUUUCAUCACUUAGUCAUUUUCCAACUUCAGAUCUAUACUUCCAAUAUUUGUGUAGACGGUUUAACUCAGAAAAUAAUAACCCACCAGGUACCAUUAGUCCCCUCUUAAACCGCCAAUUACUCAUCUCUGAAACUUGAUAACGCCAAUCUCCGGUUUAACACUUUUGCAUGCUUCAACACUUUAUGCCUUUUAACCUUUAACGGAUUAACCAUGAAUCUUAAACCGUCACAAACCUUCUUCCAGGUUAUCGAAUAAAUGGCCAAGUCCUUUUACAGAAGAAAAACUGAACAGAUGUGUUGCUACUGGCGCUUUAGCCAAAAAGGAAGUCAUCCACUGGAGAGUUCCUGGUCCUGAAAAUCCUCCUGAACCCAAGGAAGGGGAAGUGAUCGUUUUUGUUGACCAUCUGAGUCGAGGAUUCAGCCCUCCCGGAUCAAAAAAUUUCUGUGAUGUGCUCCAUUUCCUCCAACUUCACCCUCAAGAUAUUGGACCUAACUCCAUAUCCAAUAUUUGCAAUUUUCAAGUGUUCUGUGAAGCUUACCUGCAAGAGGAGCCCACGAUCGAGCUGUUCAGAGAUUUCUACUAUUUAAACCGCCGUACAGAAUUUGUGGACGUGUCCAAUAUUGAACUUGGCGGGGUGUCAACCCAGAAGAGAAAAGAUGUCAGCUUCCCUCACGCUAACCAUCAUAGCCAUCCCAAAGACUGGAAUCAAACUUGGUUCUAUUGCCGAGAUACAUCUCCAGCUGAUGAGAAUCCUCUGCCGGGUUACCGUGCUCACCGGCUUACCAGUACACAUCCACUCCCCCAAAGACUCAGCAAAGGAACGGGCCAAGUAUGCACCACAACUUUCAAAGCUCAGAGCCUCUGUGGCAAACGGUUUAACAGGCGUUGACUUUGUCCGUUGCUGGGUGUCUUGGAGCAUUUUGCCUUUAAGUCGUUGCUCUGGUUUAAUGUGUGAAUACACAGGGGACGUGAAAGACCCUCAAUGCCACAUUAAUAUUCAGCUGACUGAUGCUGAACUUACUGAAGCCGUCAAGAAAAUGCUGGAUAUACCGGUGGCCGAGUGCAGCAAAACAUGGCUUAGUCCUUUCUGCGCUUCAAAUAAACCGCCAGCUGUAAGAGUUGCCCAACUCCUGCUCAAUCCAUAUUUUUAAUACUCCCUUAUGAUCUUUUCAACUUUUAACAGGGUGAUGAUCCAUUCUGGAAGAGGAAACCGCAGGAUAAACCGGCCAAAACAGCUCACCCCAAGACCAAGGUCACCAAGAAGCCCGCCAAGAAGAAAACCGUCGAGUCUACCGAGUUAAACAUUUAUGAUGACAAUGAUAACCCGGAGUCAGAGGUAGAACUUGAUUCACUUGGUUCCUUUUUCAUACACCUCAUUGACAAUGAUUGUUAUCAGGACGACGCAGAAGCCAGCUGUGCAAGUGAUGCAGAGGUAAUUAUUCUCUCAUCCGGCUCAGAACCUCUGCCCACACAGAAAACCCGACAAGCAAACCGGAAAGUAAUAUUUUCUCAUCCUCUAGCUCACUUGGAUCCAAACUUUCUUUUGAAGAAACAGCAACACGAAGCUCGCCGCACAACCCGGCAUAGCGGCCAUGUGGUAACUUCUUCCGGUUUACCGAACACGUCGGUUCGUAAAUGCCGCCCAGAGGUCUCUUAUACUUCUGACACAUGUCAUCCUAAGGCGGGUUAUUUCCGACAACCUCUUAAUCCGUCUGAUUCAAAUUAUCAGGGAACUUCCCAUUCCUCCUCUGCCGAGUCAACAGGAACGCAAAUUCCAACCCUCAAAACAGUUCCUGGGUGAGCACAUUUAAUUGACCCUUCAUAUCUUAUACUUGAUCUUUAUACUGACCUGAUCUACACUUAUUAUUUUCAGGGCCCAAGACAGGGCCAGUAAAUGGGCCAAACGGAAUAAACCGGCUGAUGACCCCAUUCCAUCUAAACUGGAAAGGACCCCAUAACCUUCUAAUCCAAAUACUGAAGCUAUUCUUGAUGAUCCGCCACCGCAAGACCAUGAAAUUGAUGUUGAACACAUGGAAGUUGAUCCGAUGAUUCAUGCUGAUAAACCGCCAAGCCCAACCAAAGUUGCUGAUGACAACACUGACGAUGUUAUGGUCACUGGUGUUAAUUAUACAACCCCAGGCAACCCCACUGCUCUAUCAAAACAUAGUGCCAAAGAAGAAUUUUCUGCUGUUGACAAAGGCGAGUGGAAGGCCGAUUUGGAAAGCUAUGCCCACCUCAGCGCCCAAGAUAUUCAUUCUGGGUUUUUAAACCGUCUGUACACAAGCCCUGACUAUGAAGCCGGUUUACUGAAUAUGAUGAAGGAGCGAUAUGAGGUAAAUGAUGUUAACUCUGCAUAAAUACUCUUCCCUUAGCCGCCAAGUUUAUUGGACAUAAAAGAAUAGAAUGUUCUGUAAACUUCCAAGAACCAUAUAGAUCAACUCCAGUAGCCCCCAAGGGCCGGUUUGUACUGCCAAUAUGAACUGGGUCUUGUAGAAUAAUAACUCGUCAAUUUUCCCUGUGUAGCCCCCAAGGGCCGGUUUAUACUUUCAAGAUGAACCGGGACUUUAGAAUAACAACUCUUCAAUUUUGCCUGUGUAGCCCCCAAGGACUGACUUAACAGAUAUGGUCAGUUGGGACUAUUGAUGUUGUAAGGCUCAAAAUUUUUGUUUAGGACCUUUUGUAAACCGGUUAACCACCGAGCUGACAGUCGAAGAAAAAUCCAUAGCUUUUAACUGGAGCAAACAUGCAUUAGCCCCCAAGUGCCAAGAAUAAUACUUGUAUUGAGCUUGGGACUUGUAAAUUUUUUGAUAAGAAGCAAUAGACAUUAGCCCCCAAGUGCCAAGAAUAAUACUUGUUAUGUGCUUGGGACUUGGAAUAAGCACUGUCAUCUCAUAAAUUGCUUGUCUCUUGCAGGCUGAUCUUAGCAAGAAGGAAUCCCAAAUCGCUGACCUCCAAGAAAAUAUUAAAUCGCAACAAGCAGAGACUUCCAAGGCCAACGAUGAACUGACCAGUGCCUUAGCAGCAAUGGAAAAACUGAAAGAGAGCUUCAAAAACGAGCGGGCAGUUUGGGAUACCGAAAAGACAACUCUGCUGAAGAGGGCUGAGGACGCUGAAGCAGCCCUUAAUCCGAUGGCAGAGGAGCUGACUGGCUUGAAACAGCAAAUAAAUGCCAUGACUGCUGCCGUUUUUGGUAAAUAGCUUCUUCAUAAGCUUUAAACAUGUAUUAUCCAAUGAACUGCCGGUUUACAGACGUUUCUGAUGAUGCAGGAUCUCGCAUUGCUCAUCUUGGCUUAGAUAUGCGGAAAAAACUGAAGGCUGCUUAUACACUUAUAGAGCAAUUAUAUACCGGCGCACAACGGGUCAUCUGCAGAACUUCCCAUAACAAGCCACCCCAACUUUGAUCAAGGAAACAUUGGAAAGGCUGUCUAUGAUGCCUGCCCGGUUUGAAGAGCUAAAGAGAUCAGCUGCAAGGGCAGGUGCUCUUACCGCACUAACUCGGGCCAAAGCAUGGAUACCUAAUCUUGAUCCGACUGAUUUGGCGAACGGCUACCCAAGCAUAAAGGAGGAUGGAUCAGAUUUUAAUACUGAUGACCUCGGAACCCUUACGAGGGAGAUGCGCCCACUGGCUAGUAAAUUGGCUGAGGAGACCGAUCAUUCAUACCAUCAGUCGGUUUACGAUGCCAACAAUAAGAGAGUUAAAACGGCAACUUAUGAUGCGCCAAGCCUUACUCCUCCAAUCCGUAAGUAUACUUAUGCCCCAGAUGUUGACCCCUCCCCACUUAUAAGUGAUGAAGCUGUAUUCAAAGCCUUAACUGGGAUCGAUUGGACAACCAUUGACCUCCAGCCACUGGGUAGAGAAGAAGAAGAUGAACCGGCAUUGGAUGAUCCAUAACCUUCAAGUCCACCAGGCGAAGAUUCAUAAACCGAAGGCUGGCUGAACAUCUGCUCUGUGCAAGACUUGUUAAAACAAUUAUUCUUUUGGGCAUCACACGCCUUGUAAUAGGCUAGCUUAAACUCUUGAUCUGCUAUGCCAUCGCGCAUAUUUUCUUUGCAUGACACUGUUGAUCCGCCAUGUUUAAGAUAUGCCGCGUAUGCUUAUGAUAUUAGCAAUUUGAAUCUGUUCCUGCAUACAACAGAUUAAAAAUUGUCCUGGCGGUUUACCGCUGGACGGGUUAUAAUACCCAAUAUAAAGCCAUGGGCGAUUAACAUAGUUUAUAACCAAGGCUGGACUUUUUAAAGAUAACCAUAUAGAAAAUAUAUCAUGCAUGUGAUAUUUGAUCACAUUGUUGGUUUACCAAGCCAGUGUAAUAAGGGUGAUAACCCAAAAUUUGAGCACUGGUAAUUAUCAUAUAUUGCCGGAGUAUAAACAAAGGCAGGCCGGGUUAAUAAACACCGGAUGUUAUCUUAUCUUAUACCGGUGACUUAUAGUCGAAAGCCAGGCCGGGUUAAUAAACACCGGAUAGUAUCUCAUCUCAUACUGGCGACUUAUAGUCAGCCAGGCCGGGUUAAUAAACACCGGUGAAUUAUAAUCAUAAAGUAUUAUAAGCCUCAUCAAAUAAACCUCAAAAAAUCCGUCGAAUAAAAACAAACGAAAAACGAGGCUUUUCAUGGGUUGCCAGGCCAAAAAUUGAGUGCUUUCACGGGUCACACAACCACUGAGUUAAACCUAUAUACAAACCUUAUAAGAUGGACCUCACAUAACCAGUCGUCGUUUUAACGUUGACAAGUUCAGGGUCUGCAUAAGAUUGACUUGUCAAAAGUUCGGCGGGUCAUACCAGGAUUACCUGGGCAGAGUGGCUUACUUAAAAAGGCAGGUUAACCCGGGGUUUUAGGUGAAUACACCUGGCUUCCAAGCCUGGCUUUUAAGCCUAUUACAAGGGUUAUAAAAACUCUUUGUUCUUUAGAACAAAAGAGCCCCCAAGCAAUAUUUUGAGCUGUGCUCAAGGGGUACCUAUGUUUGAGUUGUUCUGUUGCAACAGACUCUCUUUGGUCCCUUUAACCUGGGUAGCAAGCCCCCAAGAUUUUUUUAUGUGUGGCCUAUAAGCCGGAUCAAAGGGUAAUCAUAACUUUGCUGUAUAAAGAAGAAGCCCCCAAGUGACCAAAAACUCGUUAUUUAAAGAGAACGACAGAGGCCUUGCUUUAACAGGGAUGCCGAUUUUAUUAUAUUGAUCAUAAUAUAUACAUUGUCAAAAUAUGUACAUCAGAAGAGCCAGUGGCUCAUGUAUAGUAGGGCCGAAGAUGAGCAAUAUUCCACGGCCGGUGGGUCUCCUCCUCCGACUUGCGUGAGUCUUUGUGCUCUCGAACAUCGAUAAGGUAGUAGGACCCAUUGUUGAGAUUCUUACUGACCACAAAAGGCCCUUCCCAAGGUGGGGAUAACUUGUGCAUAUCAGUCUGAUCCUGAAUAAGCCGGAGCACCAGAUCGCCUUCUUGGAAAGUUCUGGUUUUAACCCGGCGGCUGUGGUAAUGACGCAGAUCUUGCUGAUAAAUCGCUGAGCGAGCCGCUACAAUGUCACGCUCCUCAUCCAAAACAUAGGGAUAGCUUUCUCUCCUAACCGGCUUAUGAACUGGCUUAACGCCGCAAUACGACCUGCCAGACGUUGCACAUCAUUGACACAUGCCGGUUUAGCCAGAGAAGUGAUGGCUUUGAUCUUCUCCGGAUUAGCUUCAAUGCCCCUGUUAGACACCAGAAAGCCCAAGAGCUUGCCUGCCGGCACACCAAAAACACACUUGGCCGGGUUAGCAUCAUCUUAUAAACUCAGAGAUUAUCAAAGGUUUCCUUCAAAUCGUCUAUCAAUGUCUCCUUCUUUCUGGAUUUCACCACAAUAUCAUCCACAUAAGCGUGAACAUUGUGCCUAAUCUAAUUAUGGAGGCAAUUCUGCACACAUCACUGAUAAGUCGCCUGGGCACUGUUGAGCCCAAAAGGCAUAGACACAUAGCAGAAGGCUCCAAAGGGAGUUAUGAAAGCUGUCUUCUCGUGGUCCUUAACUACCAUCUUGAUAUGAUGAUAACCAGAAUAAGCAUCCAAAAAACUCAAACGCUCGCAACCCGCCGUAGCAUCAAUAAUCUGAUCAAUACGAGGGAGAGCAAAAGGAUCAGCCGGACAAGCCUUGUUUAAGUCCAUGUAGUCCACACACAUACGCCAAGUGCCAUUCUUCUUAAGUACCAGCACCGGGUUAGCCAGCCACUCAGGAUGAAAAACCUCAACAAUAAACCCAGCCACCAAGAGCCGGGCUACCUCCUCACUGAUGGCCUUACGCCUUUCCUCAUUGAAACGAUGAAGAAACUGCUUGACCGGUUUAAACUUGGGAUCAAUAUUAAGAGUGUGCUCAGCGAGUUCCCUCGGUACACCCGGCAUGUCAGAAGGUUUCCAUGCAAAGAUGUCCCGGUUCUCACGGAUGAACUCGAUGAGCACGCUUUCCUAUUUUGGAUCCAGAUUAGCACUGAUGUUGAACUGCUUGGAUGAAUCGCCAGGAACGAAAUCAACCAUCUUGGUAUCAUCUAUCGACUUAAACUUCAGGACCAGAUCAUGCUCUGUAGUUGGUUUUUUCAAAGAUGUCAUAUCCGCCGGAUCAACAUUGUCCUUAUAAAAAUUUAACUCCUCCGUUGCACAAACCGACUCAGCAUAAGCUGCAUCACCUUCUUCGCAUUCCAAAGCUAUCUUUCGGCUCCCAUGCACUGUGAUGGUCCCCUUAUAACCCGGCAUCUUGAGCCACAGAUAAACAUAACAAGGCCUGGCCAUGAACUUAGCAUAAGCCGGCCGUCCAAACAGAGCAUGACAAGGGCUCUUGAUUUUCACCACUUCAAAGGUCAGUGUCUUCGAGCUAGAGUCAUGAUCAUCUCCAAAAGCGACCUCCAGAGCUAUCUUUCCAACCGGAUACGCCGAUUUACCAAGCACCACACCAUGGAAAACAGUGUUCGAUGGUUUAAGAUUUUUAUCUGUCAACCCCAUGCGAUGGAAAGUUUCAUAAUAAAGGAUAUUGAUGCUACUCCCUCUGUCCAUGAGUACCUUGGUGAACUUAUACCCUCCGACCUGAGAUGCGACCACCAAUGCUAAGUGACCCGAAUUAUCAACCCGGGGCGGAUGAUCUUCCUGACUCCACACAAUGGGCUGCUCAGACCAACGCAAGUAAUGGGGGACUGCCGGUUCAACAGCGUUCACUGCCCUCUUAUGAAGCUUCUGAUCCCGUUUGCAUAAACUUGUGGUGAAGACGUGGUACUGCCCACUAUUCAACUGCUUUGGGUUACUCUGAUACCCAGAUUGCUGCUGCUGAUUCCCCUGACCUGACUGUUGAUGGUAGCCACCCUGAUUGCCCUGAUUGCCUUGAUUACCUUGGAACCCAGAGCUAGAACCGCCACCGCCAUAACCCGGUCCAUGAGGGCCGGAUCCUGAGCCGCCACCUGGCCCAUGUCUGUCUUGAAAAAGAUUGGAAUUCUUGUACUCCUUCAUAAUGUAACAAUCCUUCCAGAGGUGGCCCGACGGUCUUUCCCGCGUCCCAUGCCUUGGGCAGGGCUGAUUUAGCAUCUGCUCAAGGUUAAAGCCUGAUCCUCCGGUUCGUGGGGGCAGUUUACCCUUGCGGCGCUGGCCAUUAUUCUGUGUGUUGGUGUUAGCCACAAAGUCCAAAUUAUUAUCAGCUUUGCGCUUACCGUUACCUCCCUGAUUCGCCGGGUUAUGCUGCUGCCCUCUGGUGCUGCCGCUCUUCUUUCCCUUUCUCGGCUUUUCAUCAUGAGACUCGGGAUCCUUGGUACCAUUAGAAUCAGCGUAUUUAACCAGAGCCGCCAUGAGUGUUCCCAUGUCAUUGCAGUGGCGUUUGAGCCGUCCCAAUUUCUGCUUUAGGGGCGUGAAACGACAAUUGCUCUCCAACAUUAAGACUGCUGAAUCAGCAUUGAUGCGAUCCGACGAGUGCAGGAUUGUUGAGACCCGGCGCACCCAAUGAGUUGUCGACUCACCUUCUUCUUGGACACAUGCGGCUAAAUCCACAAUUGACAUGGGCUGCUUGCAUGUAUCUUUAAAAUUCUGGAUAAACCGGGCCUUUAACUCGGCCCAUGACCCAAUGGAGUUGGCGGGCAGCCCCUUCAACCAAGUGCGGGCCGUCCCCUCCAACAUCAGGGGGAAAUACUUAGCACACGCAGCAUCACUAACAUCCAGCAAUUCCAUGGCCAUCUCAUAACUCUCGAUCCAUGCCUCAGGAGGUAAGUCGGCUGUAUAGUUAGGCACCUUGCGAGGACCUUUGAAAUCCUUGGGCAGACGCUCAUUACGUAGAGCCGGCACUAGACAUGGCACGCCCAAAUUCCUAAAGGUUACACCUGGAUCCACCGAAGUUGUUGGACGAACCGGAGUAGGUUGACGGGCCCCAUACUGCGCCGCUAGUUCGGCCUCUCGACGUGCUCUACCUUGAUCCACUACGUUCUGAGCAUCAGCACCACCGCCCGUCGGGUUAUGUCCACGGGGCGGGUUAUGGUUCCGUCCACUGCUUGACACAGCCGGCUCAUCGAUAUGCCUGCUGUAACUCCGGCUCGGGCGAGGGGUGGAAUGAAUCCUGUCGCGACUGUGAGAAUAAGCCUGCUGCUGAACCAGUGCUGUCUGAAGGAGCUCUCUAGCCCUCCGUGUUUCAACCGCCGUCGGAGACUCGCCUUCAACUGGGAGAGCUCAAUCGCGACGCCGCAGCGAUCAUGUUAUUCAAAGGGUUAGAGUAAUGACCCGGUGGCGUUGGCACGUGCUGCGGCGAGUUAUUGUUCUGACGAGGCGGGUCCAUCGUGCGCGGCUGAACCAGUGUACCCGUCCCAGGUGCUUCGACCCGGUUUACCACUGCCGGGUUACUGGUUCCUGCUCCUGGCAUAUUAAAAAGGUUUCUUGCCUCGUAAACUGGGGGCAGACGAGUUUGAUGCCUCCUCCUCAUGACUUUGUUUGAAGCGUUUUGAUCUAGCAUGAGCCGGUAAGACUGCGACUGAAUCCGUUGUGCCUGAGCAUCCAAAGCGGCCCGCUCCUUGGCCAUCCUAGUGUUUUCUGCGUUCAGCUCCUCCUUGGCUUGUGUUAUCUCAUCACGCAAUUUUGCAACUGCCGCAUUAUGCUGAUCCUGAUCCGCCGGAUUAACAACUGUUGUUAACAAUGCUGUCAGUUUAUCCAACAAGUCAGUUAAGACCUGAGCCGGCUGGCGCACAGGGCCUCCUGCCCCGGCAGCCAUCACCGCUGCUAACCCGGAAAUCAACUCUGCUGCAGUCGACGGGUGUUGCACGGGCUGCGUACUGGCCAUAAAGAUUGCAACCCGGUUCGGCAGCUCGCAGGGGUCCGGAAUACUGUCGCCAUCGGAACAGCCCCCAAGCCGGCCGUCUUGCAGUUGAUACAAUGACUCUGUCUCACCGGUGGACGACUCAUCAUCAGAGUAACGACCGUCUCACCACCAGAUGCCGAUUUAUCCCCAGAUUCCGCUCCAUGGAUGAAUCCCAAGAAGGCACGACUCAUGGCGGGCCGAACCCGGGCGGGUCUCGCACGCUGAGCCGUAUCGAUGAUGUCGGUGCAGAUGUCCGGCUCAGGGCCCGGUUCGCCAAUCUUGCCGAUGAAGACGUGAAUUCUGCCGAAGGGGACCCGGUACCAGUACUCAAUUGAGCCGGCCUCGGGGCCCCAGCCUGCAUCGUCGAUGUAGAGCUUGCCGCGAUGACUCUUGGUCAUCUGGCCCAUGGCGUAUCCCUUGAUCCCUUCGAAGUUGCCCUCUAAGAACUUGAAACCAUCGUGCGAUAGCCCCACGGUGGGCGCCAACUGUCGUGGGAUUGUCACCACAGAUGUCCUAGUGUGAGGACUUAGUCAUGGAGCCAUCGCAACGAAGUUAGCUUAAAGGGGUUAAAUAGGACAAAGGACACGAGGAGUUUAUACUAGUUCGGCCCCUUGCGGUGAAGGUAAAGGCCUAAUCCAGUUUGAGGUGGUAUUGCUAGGGUUUCGAUGACCAGGGAGCGAAUACGCUUAACCUGGCUCUCGAUCUGUUGUUUCUUGUCCCUAAACCGCCGCCGGGUCAUCCCUUUAUAUACAAAGGUUGACGCCCCGCGGUUCACAGAAUUCCGGCCGGCUCAUAAACGUGUCCGGCUCGGUAUCUACUCUUUCCUAUCUUACAACACAAGUCAUACACCUAUGGCAGUUUACAUCUAUGGGCCCUAACCCGCCUAUGGGCUUUGGGCCUUCUUAUUAAGUCUCCUUCACAAGUCGCCAUCUUCUAUGUCUUCAUGGGCUUCAAUACUGGUAAAUCAUCAUGAGCAUAACCCGGCCCCUCCUGGGCGGUUCAUACUCAAUAGUUAUAUCCCCAACAAUCAUGCUAGCUAUCUUACAAUCAUGCAAUGCAAUAUGACAAUAAAUGAUCAAGUCAUGUAUAUGAUGAUGAUGGAAGUUGCAUGGCAAUAUAUCUCGGAAUGGCUAUGGAAAUGCCAUGAUAGGUAGAUAUGGCGGCUGUUUUGAGGAAGAUAUAAGGAGGCUUAUGUGUGAUAGAGCGUAUCGUAUCAUGGGGUUUGGAUGCACCGGCGAAGUUUGCACCAACUCUUGAGGUGAGAAAGGGAAAUGCAUGGUACCGAAGAGGCUAGCAAUGAUGGAAGGGUGAGAGUGCGUAUAAUCCAUGGACUCAACAUUAGUCAUAAAGAACUCACAUACUUAUUGCAAAAAUCUAUUAGUCAUCGAAACAAAGUACUACGCGCAUGCUCCUAGGGGGAUAGAUUGGUAGGAAAAGACCAUUGCUCGUCCCCGACCGCCACUCAUAAGGAAGACAAUCAAUAAAUACCUCAUGCUCCAACUUCGUUACAUGACGGUUCACCAUAUGUGCAUGCUACGGGAAUCACAAACUUCAACGCAAGUAUUUCUACAAUCUACAACUACCCACUAGCAUGAAUCUAAUAUCACCAUCUUUAUAUCGCAAAACUAUUGCAAGGAAUCAAACAUAUCAUAUUCAGUGAUCUACAAGUUUUAUGUAGGAUUUUAUGACUAACAAUGUGAAUGACCAGUUCCUGUCAACUCUCUAAAUAGAUAUAAGUGAAGCAAGGGAGUUUAAUUCUUUCUACAAAAGAUAUUCCCACCCUCUAACAAAUAUAAGUGAAGCAAAAUAUCAUUCUACAAAUGGUUGUUUUCUAUUUGUAGGGAAACAGGCAAUCCAUACUUCAAAUGAUAUAAGUGAAGCACAUGAAACAUUCUAUAAAGCCAUACUCAAAAAAUAUAAGUGAAGUGCAAUGAGCAUUCUAUAAAUUAAACAAGGACUAUCUCAUACCAGCAUGGUGCAUAAAAUAAAAGUGAAAACUAAAUGCAAAAGACGCUCCAAGAUUUGCACAUAUCACAUGAACGAAACGAAACCGAAAACAUACCGAUAUUUGUCAAAGAAAGAUGGGAUGCCUUCCGGGGCAUCCCCAAGCUUAGAUGCUUGAGUCUCCUUGAAUAUAUACUUGGGGUGCCUUGGGCAUCCCCAAGCUUGAGCUCUUGCCUCUCCUCCUUCUCCUCAUAUCGAGACCUCCUCGAUCUUUGAUCACUUAAUCCACACAAAACUCAAUAGAAAUCUCGGUAAGAUCCGUUAGUAUAAUAAAGCAAAUCACUACUCUAAGUACUGUUGCAAACCAAUCCAUAUUUUGUUUUUUCAUUGUAGCUACUGUAAUAUAACUUUUUCAUGGCUUAAUCCAGUGAUAGAAAUUGAUAGUUUCAUCAAAACAAGCAAACUAUGCAUCAAAAACAGAAUCUGUCUUAAACAGGACAGUCUGUAGUAAUCUGAACAUUAACCAUACUUAUGGUACUCCAAAAAUUCUGAAAAAUUAGGAAAAAUAAAAAAUUUGUAUAGAAAUACAGUGCAAAAAGUUUCAUAACCGUUCGACGUUCCAGUAAAAAAUGUAAAAUCGCGCACUACAGCCAAAGUUUCUGUUUUGCACCGCACAAACCAACAAGCAAUGUAAACAUCCUAAAGGAAAAUCUUGGCACAUUAUUUUUAUGAUACAAUGGAUUUGUACAAGAGGAUAAUUAUUUUUUUUGAAAAGUUUCUAUAAUCAAGAUUCACAAAGUUUCCGUGAGCAUGAACAGAGUUCAAGGCUAGCUCCCACUUUAACAAUGCUCGUCUUUCUCACUUUCGCUUUUCUUUUUGAAAAAGUUUUAGGUUCCCCUCUUUAUUUUUUUGUUUUUAAACUUUAUAAAAGCACACAACAGAAAUAAAUGACUCUCUAAAACUUCCUGGUUGUCUCCUUGGCAGCGCUUUCUUCAAAGCCAUUAAGCUAGGCAUAUAGUGCUCAAGUAAUGGAUCCACCCGGAUCCCAAGGUAUAUCAAAGCCAAUUUUAAUUAACAAUGAUUUGUAAUUUAGUAGUGAGCACAAAGUAAUAUAUAUAUAUAUCAAGCAAUGACGAAGUCUAACUCUCUUCCUAUGCAUCGACAUGUCAUACAAGAACAAUUCAUGAACAUCAAGUAAAGGCCAAUACAUAGCAUAAGCAGUUUCUUGCAAUUUUUAUCGUGUUGGAAACAUAGAGAGGUGGAGAUAUAGUCCCUCUCUCAUAAUAAUUGCAAGUAGGAGCAGCAAGCACAUGCAUAUUAUAUCUAUCAAAAUCAUCAUGUGUAGUAGUGAAACGCAACCCAUCAAUAUAAUCCUUAAUAAGGGCAAACUUCUCCGAUAUAGUGUAGUCGGGAGAAUUCAAAAAGAUAAUAGGACUAUCAUGCGUGGGUGCAAUAGCAACAAUUUCAUGUUUAACAUAAGGAACUAUAGCAAGUUCAUAUCCAUAAGUAUAAUUCAUAUUGGCAUCUUGGCCACAAGCAUAGCAAGCAUCAUCAAAAAGGGAUAUUUCAAAAGAAUCAACGGGAUCAUAACAAUCAUCAUAGCAUUCAUCCUUCGGUAAAUUCGAAGGGAAAUUAAACAAUGUAUGGGAUAAAGAGUUACUCUCAUUAGAUGGUGGGAACGGGUGAUCAAUCCGCUCUUCCUCCUUUUGUUCUUCGCUCUCCUCCUCAUCUUUUUCAUCCAAUGAGAUCACAGUUUCAUCAAUUUCUUCUUCCAUAGACUCCUUCAAAAUAUUAGUCUCUUCUUGGACAGCGGAGGAGUCCUCAAUAUAUGGUUUAAUAUAAGGAUUAGAAGCAUAAUUAUCAUAGAAAUAUUUAAGUAUGGCCAAAUUUUCAGAUUUGUAGAGAGUAGUAUCACACUCUUCAAUAAAAGAAGCAAUUUCACAAGUACCCCUAAAAGCAACAAAUUCUUCAGUUUGUUGAACAUCAUAGUAAUUAUAAACACCCUUUGUAUACGAAGAUAUGAUUCCAUUAUCACUAAACUCACAUUGGUAAGGAAGGUGUUUCUUAGGGUCUUUAGAACAUCAAGUACAAUCAUAUGUUUCACAUAAAUUCCAAGCAUAGCACUGCAAACGAUGAAUUUGAUCCAGUAAAAGUUUCCCUUUUUCAGAUAUGCGGUGUCGCACAUAACAAGCAUGCUCAUCUAAAGAUUUUCCCUCAACUAAGCUAGUUGGGAUUUCAGCCCGAGCACAUAGGGAUCGAAGAUGAUCCAAGUAAAAAGCUUCAGUAGUGUGAUAGAUUUUGAGUGGUUCUUCAACCAUUGGUUCAGUAGGUACCACUAUUUUUUUGGUAUUUUGCGUUUCCUACCCAUAACUAAAGAUAGAAAACAAGAGCACAAAAUAAAAACUACUUAGUGAUAAAGCAAACAAGCACACACGAGAAUAUUCACCCCACGCUAUAACUCCCCGGCAACGGCGCCAAAAAUGGUCUUGAUAACCCACAAGUAUAGGGGAUCAAUUGUAGCCUCUUUCGAUAAGUAAGAGUGUCGAACCCAAAGAGGAGCUAAAGGUAGAAAAAAUAUUCCCUCAAGUUCUAUCGGCCAUCGAUACAACUCUACGCACGCUUAACGUUCGCUUUACCUAGAACGAGUAUGAAACUAGAAGUACUUUGUAGGUGUUGUUGGAUAGGUUUGCAAGAUAAUAAAGAGCACGUAAAUAAAAUCUAGGGGCUGUUUAGAUAAAGACACAAUAAAGUUAGUAUAGCGAGUGUGGAAAAGUGGUGGUAGGAGUUGCGAAAUUGUCCCUAAGCAAUUGACUACUUUACUAGACCGAUAGCAAGUUUUAUGUAGGAGAGGCCACUGCUAGCAUGUCAUCCCUGACUUGGAAUUCUAUGCACUUAUGGUUGGAAAUAUUAGCAAGCAUCCACAACUACUAACGUUCAUUAAGGUAGAACCCAACCAUAGCAUUAAGAUAUAUUGGUCCCCCUUCAAUCCCGUGUGCAUCAAUUUCUAUGCUAGGUUGAAGCUUCUGUCACUCUUGCCCUCCAAUACAUAGUCCUAUCAACAUACAACUAACCCUAUGGUGUGAUCCACGCGCGCCCUCAUAUGAUGGGCACCAAAGGAUAGCAACAUAACCACAAGAAAAUUAAACCUAUCAUAGCAAUUCACCAAUUACAGUUAGGACAACGAAAAUCUACUCAGACAUCAUAGGAUGGCAACACAUCAUUGGAUAAUAAUAUGAAGAAUAAAUAACCAUGUUCAAGUAGAGGGUACAGCGGGUUGCGGGAGAGUGGACCGCUGUAGAUAGAUGGGGGAAGGUGAUGAAGAUGUUGGUGAAGAUGACAGAGGUGUUGGUGUAGAUUGCGGUGACGAUGAUGGCCCCGGUGGCGUUCCGGCGCCACCGGGAGAGGGGGAGAGAGCCCCCUUCUUCUUCUUCUUCUUCUUCCUUGACCUUCUCCCUAGAUGGGAGAAGGGUUUCCCCUCUGGUCCUUGGCUUCCAUGGCAUGGGAGGGGCGAGAGCCCCUCAGAGUUUGGAUCUGUCUCUCUGUCUCUCUCUGUUUCUGCGCUCCCUGAUUCUGCCCUUUCACCGUUUCUUAUAUUCCCGGAGAUCCGUAACUCCGAUUGGGCUGAAAUUUGGACACGAUUUUCAUCCGGAUAUUGGCUUUCUUGUGGAGAAAGGACACUAACCGCCUUAUGGGGUGGCCACGAGGGUCAGGGGCGCGCCCCCUGCCUCGCGGCCCCCUCGGGCAUCGUAUCGCGUUGAUUCUUCUUCCCAAAAAUCACAUAUAUUCCAAAAAAAUCCCCAUCAGUUUUUAUCCCGUUUGGACUCCGUUUGAUAUGGAUUUUCUAUGAAACAAAAAACAUGCAACAAUCAAGAACUGGCACUGGGCACUGGAUCAAUAUGUUAGUCCCAAAAAUAGUAUAAAAAGUUGCCAAAAGUAUGUAAAAGUUGUAGAAUAUUGGCAUGGAACAAUAAAAAAUUAUAGAGACGACGGAGACGUAUCAGGAACCGUCGCCAAGUGAGUGUGGGUGAUGGGGGGGGGUCCUUCCCACACGACCCAGAAAUUGUCGGGGAUAGGCCUCCUGGGACCCAGGCUGGGGCCGUGUGUGAUCGGGCGAGGCAUCGAAACCCAAUCAUUUCCAUAGGUAUGUACAUCCCACACGCUGAAUCCCACAAAAUCAUUUCCGUAGGUAUGUACAUCCCACACGAUGAAUCCUAGAAAAUCAUUUCCGUAGGUAUGUACAUCCCACACGGUGAAUCUGUGACAGCCUGGUUUUUGCCCUUUCUUAUUUGCUUGAAAUUUCAUUUGAAAGUUUUUGAAACUUGGAGUUUCUGAAUCUUUUCAUUUGGACUUAAACACUUGGGCAUCCUUGGCUUUCACCCAAGUGUUCACUUCUCUCCCAAACCAUCACUUCACUUCUGAUCCACCACAAAAUAACAUUUGGAAUAUUUUUCUUAAAUGAAAAAUAUUCAUUUUCUCUCAAAAACCCUAAGCCAGAUCUGUUUGCUUCAAGGCAACACUAAUUUUUAUGGCUCAGAAAAUUCUAAGAUAAUUCACAAAUAUUCUAGGGACCCUAGGGCACCUCCCUGAGCAAAAAUAUUUCAUCACUUUUUGGAAUAUUUUUGCUACAGAAAAUCUUUUCCGUUCUGGACAGAAAUGGUGGUUUCUAUAGCAACUACCAUUUUACUUGCUCCAUUUGACCUGAACUUUCUUGUGCAUCUUUACCUUAGUAACUUAUAACUAGCAUCCAAAGCACAGCCCCAAACUCCCAGCCAUUUGACCACAGUAACAACACAAAGUUACAGACCAGAAACUUACCUGGCUUGUAAAAUCUUCUCUACUGCACCUGGAUCCAAACCAAACCGUUGUAAACUUCAAAACUGCCACGAACAACAUGCCAGACAUGAUUUUUGAACAAAGGCUGGCCUGAGGAGAGAGUUCGCGCAGUGACCACGCGUGUCCACGAUGCCAGGCAUGCAUGUCGACGCGCUCUGGGUGACGCCGAGCGCUCUGUUCGAGCGUGCUCGCUUCCCCCGCCUGCCCAACCAUGCCAAACCCCGCCACCAUCAUCGUCUCGACGUCCUUAACUCCUCCCUGGCACUCGCCGACACCGGAGCUUGCCGCAGCGAGCAUGGGCAAGGUCCGGCCAGCCCAACAGUGUGGAGCGCACUGUGCUCGUCGCCAUCCCCUUCAUCCUGUGCUCGUCUCCGCUCGCCCACAGUGGCCGCGUGACCUCCGUCGCCUUCUCCCCCUCUCACCGACGCCGCUCGUCGCCGGGCACCGUGGACAGGUGUCCACCGGUGGAGCCCGUAGCACCCUCGCCGCUCGCCUAUAAAUAGAGCCACCCCCAGCCUCCUCGAGCACCAUCCAGCACUCACACACACCCCACGAUCGAGUAGGAAGUCGUAGCCCGGCCGGGCAGGCCUCGGGCCGCCGUCCCCGAGCUCGAGCUCGCCGGCGAUCCCCUCUGGUCGCCGCGGUAGCUCCAGCCCCUCCCAGGCCCGGUCGACCCCUCCAAGGCCUCCGCCUCUCUCCGGUGAGGCCAUCUCGCCCGCUUGGAGCCUCUGGAGUGACCUCUGCUCGCCGUCUUCCUCAACUCCGGCGACCUCCAUGUUCUGCCUCCGCUUGCGAGCUAGUUUCCGACGCCGUCCGACCACCCCUAGCCACGCUACGGGUACGGGUAGGUGCGCCAUCGUCCCCUCUCUCAAUCCCUCCCUCUCGUUUGGGCCAAGGAGCCCUCGUCGCCGGCGAGAGCUCCGGCGAAGCCGCGGCCCUCUCUGUUUCUCUCUCCCUCUUCCCCCACCUGACUAGCGGGGCCCGCUAGUCAGCCACUCAGUACACGCGCGAAGCGCUAUGAGUGGUGGCGCCCUUGGGCUUUACGCCUUCGACGACACCCCCAGCUGUUUCUUUUUAUUCAAAUUCAUUUAUAUUCCAGAGAGCUUCAAACAAUUUUAACUUUUUAACCAUAAGUCCAAAUGAGAUGAUUCUUUUUGCAUUGUGUUCUUUGAAAGGAAAUCUAACAGCUCACCAAAGAUGAGAUUUUUCUGAGCUGUUUAGAAUUUCUGGUGAGUUUGAGAAGUGUUCUUGAUAUUCUCUUUUUGUGUUUAAAAUUAUUUUCAGAAGGUGAGGCUUGUCUUGAGGAUCACCAGGAGGCUUGUGAACCUCAUCUGCACUAAGGCAAGCCACAACAACAUUUUUAUGAUGCCAUUUCAAUAUUUGUGAUUUUCUCACUUAAAUGAAAUGAUUAACCCAUGCAUUUAAAUAAUUAUUGAAUUAUUUGUAUUCUGUUAAGUAUUGGUCAGUUCUUAUGCUUGAUUUACAGAAUAGUUGAAACUAGUUUAAGUGGGUAAAGCAAGUUAAAAUUUAUUUGAGGUGAUGUUAGAAAUAAUUUUGUUAUGCAUGUUAGUAAUUAUUUAAAGCUUUGUGUUUGCAUUCUUAAAUUGAUAAAAAAUUGUUAGAAAAUAUUCUGUUAAAUACUUGUUUAAUCAUAUUACUUGUCUUACAGAAUGUUUGAACCCAACUUAGUGAUAAAGAAAUUAAGAGUUGUUGAUAAUGAUAUCUUUUGGUCAAGCAUAUGAAAAAUUUAUCGGAGUUACUUUCUUGCGUAGGAAAUUAAUAAAACUUGUUGCAAAAUAUUUUGGUUAAGUUGUGAGUCAUUUUGAGCAAGUAGAGUAAUAUGAGUUGUUGACGUUUAUGCUUGGUGUGCAUAUGGACGACGUCGGUCAUUUUUAUCAAUAUGUGAUGCAUGUGUUGUUUUGCAUUUCAUGGCAUGCUAUGACACCGGUCAUUUUUAGUUAAAAGUUAAUCCUGAAUAUAACUCAACUUGAAUAUACCGUUGACUGGGUCAUGGUGCCGCUGAAUCGAGUUUCUUUCCAGUGCAACCACAUUUGCCUUGUGGGAAGGCCUUGAUUCGGUCCAUUGAUACGGCCUCUGGUCGGUGCCUCCAUCUAGGGAAGAUUAUGUCGUGUUUGGCCUGGCCCGGUAAGCACACAUAAUCUUGUGUGCUCGUUGAUGAGAUUAUGGUACCGAGUCCCCGAGUGGGAGUGUUUUGACCAUGACGGUGGUCGGGGUGUCUUUGGUAGACACGGGGCCACCAAGGACCAGCCCGUUGGGGAUUUGGGCCGGAGUGGCCGGGAGAGUGCUGUGGCAAUGGAGGGGUUUUGUCGGAAUGCCGUUGGUCCACCCGAAUGGGAAUGCGAGGCCAUGGGUUCCGUGGUGUGGGUACAGCGUGCUACCUCUGCAGAGUGUAUAAUCUAUCGAUAGCCGAGUCCACGGUCACGGACACCUCGUACUAGGUCCCACCAUGAGUCAACGUUUAAUAAAAAUUGCACACUAAGCUAUGAACUUUGCAUUGUCAAUGGAUGGCAGAAAGGCCAUCGAGGUAUUUGGGACCAAAUGAUGGUCAUGGUUGUGAUCGCCGUAAGGAUCACGAGUUGUUCUUGAGAAAGACCACUAUGGUGGUGUGUUUGUGGUCCAGAGAUGAUCACAGUUGGUAAGCUGUCCUGAGGGACGUUCGGGCUUGAUCACAACAUGUUGGCAUAUAAUGUUGCAUUAUUAAUAAUUGGUUAAAUAUCAUGAUAUUGUUUGUCAUUAUUAUUAUGCUUGUUAUGAGCUUGCAAGUACAUUCAAUGUACUGACCUGGCGUGUCAUGCCAGAUUUCAGGAAAGUCUCGUUGGAAAGGAGCGCUGUUCGAGUCUAGAUCGUGUCCACAUCAGUGUCCCUGUGAUAUGGAGCUUCCGCUACGACGUUAUUCCGCUGCCACGUAGUUGUUCGAGUCGAGGCCCCUUUAUGUUCACUAAAUAAUGUACAUAUUGUUCCGCCGCACCAAGUGUGCCGCUUGGCCUCGACCACUGUUGUAAUAUGAACUCUGUUCCGCUAGCAUCAAUAAAGCAGUUGUUUUCUGUACCAAUAUGUUGUGUGUUGCCAGAAGACAUGAUCUCUGGGCUGGCAAUGCAGGGUAUACCGGUCGCUCUGAGCCGGGGUGCCACAGAAUCCCAGAAAAUCAUUUUCGUAGGUAUGUAAAUCCCACACGGUUAAUCCUAGAAAAACUUUUCCGUAGGUAUGUAUAUCACACACAGUUCUUGUAGCAACCCGACCUCAGACGGUCAAGUCUCUGUGCUUAAGUGUCAUCCUGGAUCGGUAAUGCUGACACACAUAGUACUCGAAGGAUUUAUAACAGAGUAGCAAUCACACACUUAUUACAUCGAGUAUCUCAAAAGAGAACUUAUCACAAUAAAUAUGGCUUAAGGCCAUCUAAAUAAGAUAACAUCGGAAGGCUUGGAAGAUAAAGUGAGUCCAUCAACUCCAAUGGCAUAGCUGAGUGCAUGACAAUGGCCUAGCGAGCCUUACUCUUCGUCUGAAAAGUCUGCAACAUGAUACGUUGCAGCCCGAAAAUGGGUCAGCACAUGGAAUAUGCUGCAUAGUAACACAAUAGAGCAAUGAACAGAAUAAAUGCUAUCACUACAUGCAUGUAUGGAUGGUGGAGGCUCUAUGGUUAAUAUGUUUCUGCAAAAAGCCAAUUUUUCCCUACAACAAAGGAAAUAUAUAUUUUAUAUAACUAUCAUGGUAGUCGAACAAUAUUGAGAAGGUUCCUCCAACUCAAUCCCAAUUAGAAGUAAUUGUCAACCCAACAAAUUAAAUUAGAGUGAUGAGAUCCACAUGAUAAUCCAAGAACCAGAUACUCAAGAUGUCCAUAACCGGGACACGGCUAACCAUGAUUAGUUUGUACACUCUGCAGAGGUUUGCGCACUUUUCCCCACAAGACUCGAUCUCCUCCGUUGGAUUUCUCGCACUACAUGGUGUUUGAGAAACGGAUGACCGAGACACAGUCUUUCAGAAGCACUAACUCUUUACUCUGGGUGGACAGUUACACCUACUUUCCCUCUACAUCUACUAGCACACCACUGAAAGAGGUCAUGCAACAUACUCAACUAUGCUAGAGCCCAUAAUAGCUUGUGGCUGCACACGGAAGUUUCUAGCAUGAAUAAUAUUAUGAUCCCUUUGAGCCUGGGUGGCGGACCGUAGGAUGAUCACACGGGUACUCCGGGAUAUCCUAGGACAACACUGGAUUCCAGGUGCCCAAACCAACAAUCCACCCAGAUGUGUAUUAAAGUUGCCACCUUAAGUUGAACCGUUAAUUAACAAUCUCACAUUUGUCAUGGAUACACUCAAACCCAAUCCACGUCUACGAGCAUAGCAUAGCAAUAUAAGCAUAACGUAGAAGUAACUCCCAAGGGUUUGAUAAUAAACAGGGCAAUAGGUUCUAUCUCAUCAUCUACUUCCCAAUACCCACAAGUUAAUCACAUCCUAAUCAUGCAAUGUUUGAGGAUUGAUACUAAUGCAUAAAAAUUGGGUAUGAAAAGAGUAUGAUCAAUGUGUUACCUGCCUUGCUGACGAUCCGCAAAACCUAGUGACUCGUAGUAGCACGCUUCGCACUCCGGGAAUUCUAUCGCAAACAAACAAUAGCAUACAUAAGCACUCAAGCAAAGAUGCAUGGGUAAAACUCAAAUAAGAAGAUCUAACCAGAAAGUUCAAUUGAAGAACUCAGGUUUGCAAAAAGAAUCAAAUCAAACGGAGAAACAAAACACAAACCACGAAAGAAACAAAAUCCGUUUACUAAUCUGGACUAAAGUCAAAUUUUGCAGAGCCAAAAUCUUGUUCAAGUUGGUUAAACAGAAAGAGGGCUUCGAGACGAAGAUCUAGACACUUGUUUCACCUGAUUUGGAUAAACGAGCGAAAAUAUAUACUAGAACAAAGA
rnacentral:lncRNA from 1 species